UUUCCGUAGGUGAACCUGCGGAAGGAUCAUUAAUGAGUUGUCAUGGGGUUCGAAGCUGGCAGCCAGUUUUUGGAUGCAUGUGCUUGCCCUAACAAUCAUCUUCUUCUAAACACCUGUGCACAUUUUUGAGGGAGUCUUGAGUUGGUUGCCGCUCUUGGGUGAUUUUCUCACAUUCCCUUAAAUCAUUAUACGCUAUUAACAAUGUUGAACGUGCUCUGUGCCGCAAGGCCAUUAAUAUAAUACAACUUUUAACAACGGAUCUCUUGGCUCUC
rnacentral:misc_RNA from 1 species